AGCGGGAUGGGAUAGCCUGGAGAUUCCGCCGGCCUCAUGAGCCGGAGAGCGGUGGUUCAAAUCCACCUCCCGCUA
rnacentral:tRNA from 2 species